rnacentral:misc_RNA from 1 species
AACCAUUCUCACCUGCGGCUAGACCUGCGGAGGGAUCAUUACACAAAUUAAAAUAUGAAGGCUUCGGCUGGAUUAUUUUUAUCACCCUUGUCUUUUGCGCACUUGUUGUUUCCUGGGCGGGUUCGCCCGCCACCAGGACCACACCAUAAACCUUUUUUUAUGCAGUUGCAAUCAGCGUCAGUAUAACAAAUGUAAAUCAUUUACAACUUUUAACAACGGAUCUCAGAUCGGAAGAGCACA